rnacentral:rRNA from 1 species
AACGAACGCUGGCGGCAUACCUAACACAUGCAAGUCGAACGAGACCUUCGGGUCUAGUAGCGCACGGGUGCGUAACGCGUGGGAACCUGCCCUUAGGUUCGGAAUAACUCCCCGAAAGGGGUGCUAAUACCGGAUAAUGUCUUCGGACCAAAGAUUUAUCGCCUUUGGAUGGGCCCGCGUUGGAUUAGCUAGUUGGUAGGGUAAAAGCCUACCAAGGCGACGAUCCAUAGCUGGUCUGAGAGGAUGAUCAGCCACACUGGGACUGAGACACGGCCCAGACUCCUACGGGAGGCAGCAGUGGGGAAUAUUGGACAAUGGGCGAAAGCCUGAUCCAGCAAUGCCGCGUGAGUGAUGAAGGCCUUAGGGUUGUAAAGCUCUUUUACCCGGGAUGAUAAUGACAGUACCGGGAGAAUAAGCUCCGGCUAACUCCGUG